CGCAGGGAGGCUGCUCGCGCUGCCACCGGGCUGAAGCCCUAGAGGUUUUGCUGCCAGCAUCAUCGCAGUGAGUAACAAACUGUCAGCUCCUAAAUCUCUUGUAGGCAGCUUGACUCCAAGAAGAAACUGAAGCCGUUCCUGUGAAGUGAGAGCCGGACCUGACUAAGGUUGGUGCUCCCUUGCAUCGUGAGGAACACUGAAGUCAGAGGUGGCUCCAGCCUGCCACGCUACAGUGUGCUCAGGGAAAUACACCACCGUCUUCAUGAAUGAAAAGCAAAUGGACGUAAUCGACUUCAGCCUGAAGGAGGCAGAGAGAUUAAAGGGGUGGAAGGAGCCCAAGCCCUUGUUACUCCAGCCCAGCGCUCCACUCCCAGCAAACACAGAGGAACAUCGGUCACCCAGGAGGAGUUUCUCAUCUGGAUAGGCAACUUUAUGUUCUCUCAGGACAGACGCUAACUAUAAGAGGCAAAUGCAAGACCGUCAUUGAAAUUAGCAGUUGCAGGUGUGACCUUCAUAUGAGAACUAAACAGCUGAGAAUGAGGAACACCAUCUCAUUUUGCUGGGCAUCAAGAGCUCCAUCCUCAUUAUACUCUUAUUUAAGUAAGGUAGUGAUGUGAAAAGAACUGAAGAUCUCAAUUUUCUUUUCCCUGGAAGGAGGAGAGAAUGGAAGAUAUCUGUUGAGGAGACACAGAGAAAUUAUUUUCUUAAGGACGUAUGGAUGUCAGCAAUGAAUUGAAAGGAUAAAGGAAGAGGCUCUCUAUCUAACUAUGACUACGCGUGAUGUGGAAAACUAAAGACUAAUGCCAGCAGAGAGAGAAGUGACAACUCACCACUGCUACCAUGACCCCCCCCCGGCAUCUUCCCAUCUCAGAGCUCAUCUCUCGUCUUUGUUGAAAGCAGCAACGGUGUUUCUGUGCUUUUCUGGACCAUUUCAGGAGGCAAACAGUUAUGAUGAUCAUAACUGCAACCACGCUAUGAUCUGCAUAUUUUUAAUGGUGCGCUCAGUCAGAGCGAAGCUUGCCCACCAAUGCUGAGAGGAUUUCACUGUCUGAAGAAAUUACCUCAUGAAGGAGGCUGGCUUGGAGAUGAAUGCAGACUGUGACAGGAGCUGCAUUAUCUUCAGUAUCUGUCACGCCAAUGGGCAAAUAAACAGAAGCCAACACUAUUUCUUUAAUAUUUCACAAAUUUUUAAAUUUGUGGUUUUCUUUAUUUUGGAGGCAAAUUGAAUGGUACAUCACGUAUCUUUGAAAAUAGGGGCAAGUUGCACAUAAUGAACAUUUUUCUUCACUAGUGUUUCUCUUAUUUGCUGUUUCUUCCUGGAAUAUUAUUUACAGAUAGUUUUUAUCCUCUCCAGAAUUGUGAUUUUGAAAAUUCUGCAAUUCAAGACACACCUGUUUCCUAAAAUGCAAUCUGUGAGUGGGUGUCACAAUACUUCAGUUCUGCUUACCACCAGGAUAUCUCCAGUGUUUUAAACACCACUGUGUAUCACUUUUAUGCCAAGCAGUUAUCAAGAAGAAAUGAAAUUGGGAGAACUAUCAUGUGAUAGAUAAGCUUUGUUUCUUAGAAACAGCCUGGUCAUUCAAGAGUUAGUCUACAGUGUGAUUCCUAUCUUGUGUAAUGCUGCAGCACGCUAUUAAAAACAGCAGAUGUUCACUCUAGGGAUGGUUGCACUUCAUUUGUGAACAAAGUGAUUCCCAUGUGUAUCAUAACAAGGUAUAUUCUCUGUCAUACCUUGAAACUCAAACAAAUCCAACCAAUGUAAAAUUGACUUGAAUAAUUGAAACAGAAUUUGACCUACGUGUUCUCAUUGUUAAGCUUUAUAAAGCAUUUAUGAUCCAUGCAAAUGAAGACAGCUCAUGUAUACUAAUGCAAUGCUAUUAUUCUAAUUAUCUUUGCAUAUGGCAUAGUAAAUAUUGAUACUAUUAAUAAAGUUAAAGCAAGAUGGAAUUGCAUAUUCAUAAUUUAGUUCACAGUACAUUACAGAUGUUUUAUGCUGAGAAUUAAUGCUGUGUGAAGUUAUACAUAACUUUGAUAGGCUUUAAUUUGACUGCUUAUGUUAUCUACCAUAUGUCUAUUCUGUCCUUGAUUAUAACCUUCUGGCAAAGAAAAAUUGUCAUCUAUGAGGUUUUCAAUACGAAAAAAAAUCAAGAACUAUAAAUGAAAAGUCCGAUUUUGAAGAGCUACCACAUUAAUCUCAAAGGCGUUCUGCUUGUUUCAUCACUAGAAUAAGAAAUGCCAUUUGUGUGAUUCCCCCUACCCGCCCCCUCACUAUAGUUGAUUGGUUUAGUAUGGUUUCAGCACUGCUUUUGAUUCUUCAUAUCCUCCUCCUCCUCUGUAUUUUGGAUGUUCUGGAUUUCUAGAAUUUCAACUGAAAAAUCUUGUGUAGACUCCCAAACCUUUGCCUGAACUCCAGUCCUUGUGAAUCUGGGGUAUUGUCUCUUGAAUCCUGCUAGCAUCUGAGAUUUAUUUUUUUCUAAAUCUGAAUAUAGAACUGCCUUCUUUCGAAUUUCUCUUUACUGCCUCAUUUCUCUUGAAUUAUUGUCAUUCCCAGGCUUGCAUUUAGACUUUUGGUCUAUUUGUCUUUCGUCCUCACUCUGACAAUUAGCUUUCUCUUGUCUUCUGCAGUUCAACUUCAGCAAUUUGUCAUUCCUUUCUCCAGUGCUUCUCUUUUUCUGAGCUAGUGAAAAAAAAAAAAAUCUAAAGUUUAAAAAUACUUUGAGAAAGAGGAUUCACUUAUCUUAAAGCUAAGUAAUUCCACUCCCUUUUCUCCACUGUUAAUUUUCCUUGGAACACAAGCAGGAAAGUCCAAGAAUGCUCCAUGGGGCCCAUUUCUUUUGUUUCUGUGUGUGGCCCCAUGCAGUUUUUGCAGGGCUAGCAUUUUUUUUUUUCUUUUCCCCUUGAAGAAGCAGUUUUAUAUAGAAAAACAGUGUCUUAGCACAAUCUGUUCUCUAGAGAUAAGUGGCCUGAGUUUUUUUCUUUUUGGUGUUUGUUUUCUUCCUGCACUAGACAUGCUUGGAAACUUGUAUAUUAAUACAACUGCAAUGGACUUUCAGGUCUUUUAAGCUCCUGUAUAAUUCAUUAUGCUUUCAAGAGCAACUACUAGCUGGUUCAUGUAUUGUAAAUAAGUAAAUUUCAUUAUAGGCACUUAAAAUUCUCUCUAUAUAUGAAUAUAAACUAAGCCAAUGAAGGAACUGCUAUUUGAUUGCUAGCCCUUUUUAUUCUUCAGGCAGAGGUGCUCUGCCACCAAAUGAUAAAUGGAAAGGGAUUAAAUAGAAAUCAAGAAUUUAAAAUAAUCUUCAGGGAAGCCCUCAAGUACACUGUAAAUGACAUUGAUUAAGGCAUAUUUCAGCAGAUACUUAGCUUGAGAUAAAUUAAGAAUAAGUCUAACUCAGCAUGGUAUAAAGUUCACAGAUAUAUGCUCAGAGUACAAGUAACUAAAGUUUAUCUCUAAGCGUUCUUCAGUUUUGCACAUCGGGCCCCCAGGAUCAUAUUUUCUGGAUGCCUGGUUGCAUUAUCUGUGCCUGGCGCAAAAGUACUGACCUGAAAGUCUUGCUUAAGUGACCAUCUAAGAAUCCUUUUUUAAAAUCAGUCACAAGCAUGGACAGGAUUCUUUUCUCCAGAGCAACAUAAAUUAUUCUGCCUUAUUUACAAAAUCUUAAUUUUUAAACAGUUUUCUGCAUAAUUUAGAAAUAAUGCACAAAUCUUAAUUCACAGACAACCUUUAAUCAUCAGGCACAAAGGUAUUUUGAAUGGAAUGAGGUAAUAGUGAGGAGGAAGAGAGUAAUCAUUUUCUUAAAGACAAUAAUUUUAAAAGCCUAUCUUUCUGAUUCAUCCAGUAGAACCAUCAAUCCUUUUAUUUAAUGAAUUAAGGCCUACCAUUUGCUUAAGAAAAAAAUUCACUAGUAUUCUCCCACUCCACCUAGCACUAGCUAGAACUUUAAAAAACCCCACAUCAAACCCCAAAACCCGACAACCAACUUUCAAAAUUAACGUUAACAUCAGAGCAGCACUCAGUUUAGAAAAAUCUAUAAUUAAAUUAUCAAGCACAUAAUAUAGACAUUAAAAUAACAUUGAUAUCCUAGCAUUCUCAGAAAUGUUCCUUGAAUUAUCAGGAGUGAUGGUGUUAUGAGACAGUAAAUCCAUUUUUCUGGUAAGCAUUUACUCUUGGCCUCCUCGGUGCUGCAGCUGAGCUAAUAGAACACGCACAUUCAUGAGGCAGCUCCAGUGCCCAGGAUGCUGAUUAUAGGUAAUCCAUGUAUAAAGGACAGCAUCUCUAAACAUCUUCAGAUCACUAGUUGCUCUGCUACAGCUCUACUCAAGUUUCUUGAAAGCAAAACGUUUGCAGAUCUCAUGCUUCAUUUGAAUUGUUGUAGUUAAUCGUUUGUCUCUAAUUAGAAUCUGAUUUUCUUGUUCCAGUCACAGUCUCAUCUGUUUAGGGACUGUGGUA